GUGGUUUAGUGGCUAGAGCGUCCUCCUUGAAUGCGGAAGGUCGUGGGUUCGUUCCCCGGUCAAGUCA